rnacentral:rRNA from 1 species
CCGCCUGGGGAGUACGGUCGCAAGAUUAAAACUCAAAGGAAUAGACGGGGACCCGCACAAGUGGUGGAGCAUGUGGUUUAAUUCGAAGAUACGCGAAAAACCUUACCUGGCCUUGACAUGGUAGGAACUUUCCAGAGAUGGAUCGGUGCUUGCUUGCAAGAACCUACACACAGGUGCUGCACGGCUGUCGUCAGCUCGUGUCGUGAGAUGUUGGGUUAAGUCCCGCAACGAGCGCAACCCUCGUCCUUAGUUGCUAGCGGUUCGGCCGAGCACUCUAAGGAGACUGCCUUCGUAAGGAGGAGGAAGGUGAGGACGACGUCAAGUCAUCAUGGCCCUUACGGCCAGGGCUACACACGUGCUACAAUGGAUAGGACAAUGAGACGCAAUACCGCGAGGUGGAGCAAAUCUAUAAACCUAUUCUCAGUUCGGAUUGUUCUCUGCAACUCGAGAACAUGAAGCCGGAAUCACUAGUAAUCGUAGAUCAGCAUUGCUACGGUGAAUACGUUCCCGGGUCUUGUACUCACCGCCCGUCACACCAUGGGAGUUGAUUUCAUUCGAAGCGGGGAUGCUAAAGUAGCUACCUUCCACAAUGGGAUUAGCGACUGGGGUGAAGUCGUAACAAGGUAACCGUAGGAGAACCUGCGGUUGGAUCACCUCCUUU